GCGGGGGUGCCCGAGCUAGGUCUAAGGGGCCGGACUUAAGAUCCGGUGGCCGUAGGGCCUUCCUGGGUUCGAGUCCCAGCCCCCGCACCA
rnacentral:tRNA from 1 species